rnacentral:lncRNA from 13 species
AUUUCUUUAUCCUGAUUGGUCGCUUAAAGUUACUCUAUCCGACGAAUAGAAUUUUUGAACGCAGCCCUGCGGACUCAACAGUUGAGUCCGUUGAACGUACAUCAUAGUUACACAUUUUUUCAGACACCAACAAUAAAAGGAUCAACAUAAGAGUGAAGAGUGACGCUACUCACAAAGAUGGAGAACUUAACCACGUGGUACUAUGGUUAUUGUUCAUAACAAAAAUACAACGGCCUUUUAAAGAACACGGUGAGCUCAGACCUGCUCAACUGCUCAAACCGUCCUAGACCUGCUUGAACCGUCUGAGCGUCUUGGAAACGAAAAUCUCGGAAGGAGGAGAGAUUUUCUAAAAAUAAUUUAAGUCUCAACAGUGAAAAUUUAAUUUCACGACGUAACGGCGAGAUUAACCAAAAAUUCUCGGAGCGUGGCUCAAUUUAAAAACGAAUGCCGGCAACAUCUAAACAAAAGAAGUUCAAGACGAAUAUUAUCUCGAGCGACGCAGUUGUAUCUGAUUCCAUUAAUCUCGAAUGCUCGCAAGUCGUCGUGGGCUAGAAUACAAUACAUGAGUCGGUUUUGCACCUAUCCAAUUGGACAAUCGAUUCAUGUAAAUCACUUAUUGGCAACAUGAUUGAAUCUGUUAGCCACUGAGUUCAGUGCUCGACAUCUUUGAAACCGUGAUAUUGCGAUUUUGUUCAAUAAUCUGGAAUCUAAUGGAUGUUAAAGAAGAAGAGAUAAGACGCAAGGCGUGGUAAUA